rnacentral:tRNA from 1 species
GCUGUGAUGGCCGAGUGGGUAAGGCGUUGGAUUUGGAAUCCGAUAGGGUUUAAAAGUUUGAGCAAGUUCAAACUCUGCUCACAGCG